rnacentral:rRNA from 1 species
CCUACGGGAGGCAGCAGUGAGGAAUAUUGGUCAAUGGCCGAGAGGCUGAACCAGCCAAGUAGCGUGCAGGAUGACGGCCCUACGGGUUGUAAACUCCUUUUAUCAGGGGAUAAAGUCCGCUACGUGUAGCGGUUUGCAGGUACCUGAUGAAUAAGGACCGGCUAAUUCCGUGCCAGCAGCCGCGGUAAU